rnacentral:tRNA from 1 species
UGGAUAAUAGUUAAAUAAUAACAAUUAAAUUGCAUUUAAUAAUUCUUAAUAUAAUAAGUUAUCUAU